UACGUAGGCAGCAAGCGUUGUUCGGAGUUACUGGGCGUAAAGGGUGUGUAGGUGGCCUGUUAAGUUCCGUGUGAAAUCUCCCGGCUCAACCGGGAGGGUGCGCGGAAAACUGGCGGGCUAGAGUACGGGAUGGGAGAGUAGAAUUCCUGGUGUAGCGGUGAAAUGCGUAGAUAUCUGGAGGAAUACCGGUGGCGAAGGCGGCAUCCUGGACCGGCAUUGACGCUGAGGAGCGAAAGCCAGGGGAGCAAACGGG
rnacentral:rRNA from 1 species